CGGGCCGCGGCCCGCUCUGCAGCCUGCACGUACUGUGGGGCAGCCGGGGAGGGGGAGCCCCCGGGAAAGCACGAGCGGGAAAGCCGAGCCGCCGUGGGUGCGGAGAAAGUGGAGCUCAGCGCCGAAGCCUGGGUGUGCAAAGAAAGACGCUCGUUUCUGCCGAACUCCCAGAGGGCAGAUGCUAGAAUGUGCAGCCCUGGCAGAAAGCACAAGCGUGGCCGGGGAGGUUUGCUCCGUGCACCUGUGGUAUAGAGUGCGCUCACAGAAGGUGUCACAGAAUCCUGGGGAUGGCCAAGAAAGGAGACAAAAGGGAAAAUGGAGAAUGGCAAGAAGGGACAGACGAGAGAAUGUCACCUCCUCUCUCUUGCCUGAUGGCAUCAUUUGAUGGGCUGCAUCUCACUCAGUCUUCUGUUGGGUGACCAGGCCCAGCAAACACUGACACUUGCUAGGAACUGUUUGGCCUGUGGAUGUUGCGGGCUUUCGGCUGGGAUUAAUCCCUGAGAGACUUCAUCGUGAUACUCAGCAGAGUGGAGAGAGGAUAGUCCACUGAAGGGAACAUUCAAGCAUGGCCGAGCCAUGGCGGUCAGAAAAGUGAGGCCGAUCUAAGCUAGACACUGUUGCACGAGGAAUAGCUGUCAAUCCAGAGCCCGGGUCCCUUGAGUGUUGAAGGUGAUGGUGGUUUCCACAUGACCAACCUCUUACCCAGUGUGAUGGGGGAUGUCAUUCUGUAUAUAUGUUUCUCUUAUUGGUUGAUGAAUAAAACACUGUUUGGAUGAGAGAGGCAGGAAAAUAGGCGGGGCUAGGAGAUGAGGAGAAUUCUGGGAAAAAGGUAGGCAGAGAAAUACCGGAAAGAGUCGCCAUGUAGCUACCAAAGGAAUAACAGGUCCAGGCAUUCUCUGGUAAGCCAAGACCAUGUGGAAAUACAUAGCUUAAUAGAAAUGGGUUAAUAAUUAAGACAGAGCUAGCCAGUAAGAAGCUCUAGAGGUCAGCCAAUAGUUUAAUAAUUAAUAGAGCAUCUGUGUGCUUAUUUGGGACUGAGAAGGGCGGUAGGACCUGGCAGGACAAGAAAAAUAAUAAGCAAUACCAGUGUGUCUUGCUUCUCCAGAUUCUACUUUGUUCCCCCCUCUUUCUUUGUCCUGAACACUUUCUAACACAUUUGCUCUAAGAUAUUUAUAGUCCACUGUCUCUUCCACUCACAACAGUAGAAGUUCCACAGAGCCAGGAAUCUUUGCUGAGAAUUGUCAAGAACAUAAAGGUGUCUCAGCUGGCUAUGGCGGCUAACACCUUUAAUCCCAGAGCAUGGGAGGUCAAGGCAGCAGAAUUGCUGAGGGUUUGAGGCCAGCCUGGGCUACAGAGACUCUGUCUUGAAACCAAACCAAACAAAAAAGUGUCUGCUAUGCAGUAAGUGCUCAGUUUUUUAAAUGAAUGAAUGAAGGACUAGGGAUGUACCUUAGUAGGUACUUUGCUUGCCCAGCAUGCAGGAGACCCCAAGUUAGAUCCCCAGUAUCACAUAAAAUGGGUAUGGUAGCACACACAUUCGAUCCUAAAGAUCAGAAAUUCAAUGUGAUCUUUGGCUACAUAGCCAAAAGCCCUGUGGGGGGGGGGAAAGGAAGGUAUUUAUUUGCACUAGUUCAAGGUUCUCUAGAGGAACAGAACCUUUAGGUGUAGGCUUGGUUUUCUGUUGGGACCUCCAGUCAGCUCUGUUCUACCUGCCAGCUCCCAAAUAAUCACAUGGAGAAUCCUUAUUAAUUAUAAAUGCUCUACCAAAAACUUAGGCUCGUUACUAACUAGCUCUCACAUCUUAAAUUAACCCAUAUAUAUUUUUUAAUCAAUGCCCUACCAAAUGGCAGUAACUGUUUUCAGCACAGCAUGUUCAUCUCCUGCUUCUUCUCAGUCUAGCUGGUGACUCUGCAUUACUCCA